GACGAACGCUGGCGGCGUGCUUAACACAUGCAAGUCGAACGGUAAGGCCCUGCUUGCAGGGUACUCGAGUGGCGAACGGGUGAGUAACACGUGGGUGAUCUGCCCUGCACUUCGGGAUAAGCCUGGGAAACUGGGUCUAAUACCGGAUAGGAGCCAUUUUUAGUGUGAUGGUUGGAAAGUUUUUUCGGUGUAGGAUGAGCUCGCGGCCUAUCAGCUUGUUGGUGGGGUAAUGGCCUACCAAGGCGGCGACGGGUAGCCGGCCUGAGAGGGUGGACGGCCACAUUGGGACUGAGAUACGGCCCAGACUCCUACGGGAGGCAGCAGUGGGGAAUAUUGCACAAUGGGCGCAAGCCUGAUGCAGCGACGCCGCGUGGGGGAUGACGGCCUUCGGGUUGUAAACUCCUUUCGCUAGGGACGAAGCUUUUUGUGACGGUACCUAGAUAAGAAGCACCGGCUAACUACGUG
rnacentral:rRNA from 1 species